CCCUCCUGCAGGACACGGGGCCGGGGGGGCUCCCGCGCCCCGGGACGGGCUCCAAGCUCUGGCUUUGGGGCUCCCGAGUUUUGGGGCUCCCGAGUUUUGGGGCUCCGGCUCUCGGGGUUUCAGCCUUCCCAGGUUUCAGAGUUCCCAGGUUUCAGAAUUCCCAGGUUUCCAGGCUCUGGCUCUCUGGGUUUUGGAGUUCCCGGGUUUCAGAGUUCCCAGGAUUCCGAGCUCUGGCUCUCUGGAUUUUGGGGCUCCCAGGUUUUGGGGCUCUGGCUCUCUGGGAUUCAGAGUUCCCAGGUUUCAGGGUUCCCAAGUUUCACGCUUCCCAGGUUUCUGGGUUCCCAAGUUUCACGCUUCCCAGGUUUCUGGGUUCUGGCUCUCCAGGUUUCAGGGUCCCCAAGUUUCAGGGUUCCCAGGUUUCAGGGCUCUGGAUCUCCAGGAUUCCAGGCUCUGGCUCUCUGCAUUUCAGCGUUCCCAGGUUUCAGAGUUCCCAGGUUUCAGGAUUCCCAGGUUUCAGAAUUCCCAGGUUUCAGGGUUCCCAGGAUUCCGAGCUCUGGCUCUCUGGAUUUUGGGGCUCCCAGGUUUCAGGGCUGCGGUUCUCUGGAAUUCUGGCUCCGGCUCUGGAAUUCCGUGCUCUGGCUCCCGGGUUUUGGGGUGUCAGGCUCUGGCUCUCUGGGUUUUGGGGUUCCCAGGUUUCGGGGUUCCCAGGUUUCAGGGCAGCAGCUCCCUGGAAUUCCGUGCUCUGGCUCCCGGGUUUUGGGGUGUCAGGCUCUGGCUCUCUGGGUUUCAGGGUUCCCAGGUUUCAGGGUUCCCAGGUUUCAGGGCAGCAGUUCCCUGGAAUUCC
rnacentral:lncRNA from 1 species